GGGGUUGUGGCUCAGAGGUAGAGUACCCGCCUAACAAGCGUGAGGAACUCAUUGGGUUGAAUCCUCAGCACCA
rnacentral:tRNA from 1 species